UUUAUCUAGCAUAAUGGCUUUAUUGAACAGUUUGAAUGGUUGAACAGACAGUGCAAAUUCCAGUUUUCAUUUUAAUCACGUGUACAAGUGGCUCAGUCCUUAAUGGGUCAAACAAUUUCUAUAUAAGCACAUUUCUCAAUAUUGGGGAAACAAAUAUAAAGAAGUUAAAGCCAAUGUGGUUUAGUACAAGAGCCAUUCAAAUAGAGAUAAGAAAGUUGAAUUUAAUGUAUCCUAUAGCAAAUAUAAGCUUGCAAAAGAGUUUAGAUGGACUAAACUUUCUUUAAAAAAACAAAAACAAAAAAAAAAGAACACUUCUAGGCAAAGAGAGCAAGACCCACACCAAAGGUGUUUUUUUUUUUUUUUU